rnacentral:lncRNA from 1 species
AAUUGCUAAAUAAUGUUUAAUACUUUUCUUCCUCCCUUUCCACUCGCCUUACAAUAAUUUAAUCAAACAAUUUAAUCAAACAAUUUAAUCAAACAAUUUAAUNNNNNNNNNNCAAUUUAAUCAAACAAUUUAAUCAAACAAUUUAAUCAAACAAUUUAACUCAAUAAUUUAAUUGCAUAUUUUUUUUUUAUUAUUAUUAUUUUUUUUUUUUUUUUUUGUAAAAUAUUUUGGCAUCACAAACAACGCAAAAACACAUCCCAUUAAUAGAUAGUUUAUAUGAAUUUCCUCAUGUAACAAAAGUAUGAUAAACCGACUGAAUAUAAUCCCAUUAGGGAAACCUAUAAAAUGUAAAAGACUGUGUUAUUACAGUUCUAUGAAAGAAAAAAUAAAAAAUGAAAAAGAUGACUCAAUAAUCAAUUAUAAAAUGAUUUUAGGUAUAAAAAAAAUCAGUAUAGGUAAUUUAUCUUCUUUAUGUAGAGAUUUUCAUAAUAUAUUUCGAGUAAACAAAUAUGAAUUAACAAAUUAUACUAAUGACAUAUUACCUUUUAUUAAGUUUAUGAGAACUAGCGAAAUAGUUAUGAUUUUACAUCACUAUAGUUUUAUAAAUUAUAACAAUACAAGUUUUUAUGAUGCUAUAUGGAAACAAGCAUUACAUAUAUUAUUAAACGAUAUAGACUGUAAAGAGUUAGCACUUGUUAUAUAUAGUAUGGGCAAGAUUAAAUAUACAAAUAAAGAAAUGUUAUUAUUUUUUAAAAAAGAAAUUAAAAAAUGGAAUAAUAGAUUUAGUGGAAGGGAUUGUUCAUUAAUAUUAAAAGGGUUAAGCAAUUUGAAUUUUAACGAUACUGAUAUUUAUAAUAUAAUUAUUAAUCGAAUAUUGGAAAUAUCAGAUCAAUUAAAUUUAUUAGAUAUAUGUAUUAUUUUAAAUACAUAUAGUAAAUAUAAAAAUAUAAAUAUACAAAUUUUUGAAGUAUUAUUAAAUAAAUUAUUAACGUUUUAUUCUGAUAUGAAUGAACAAUGUAUAGGUUCAAUACUAUGGAGUAUAAGUAAUGCUAAUAUAAAAUCCGAAAAAUAUUUUUCUUUAUUAACCUUACGUUUACGAUUACUUAUGCACAAGAGGUUGCUUAAAGAGGGUGUUAUAAAUGAAAGUACGAAUGUGUUAGACGAUGCAUUCAAUGUAAAUUCUGCUUCGUAUAAUGAUACUAAUUAUGGCAACAGUACUACUGGUAAUAGUACACCUGACAAUAGUAGUGCGCAUAAAAACGACUAUUCCAAAACAAACAAGACACAAAACGAAUCGAAUUACCAGCACUAUAAUAACAACAAAAUCUGUCAAACCAAUACAUUAUCUAAUAAUGUUUCAAAAGAAAAACACAUUUCCUCUGAUCGCGUAUUUUCAAAAAAGCCUCUAUCCUUUAUAAAAAAUAAGGAUAAAGAUAAGGGUAAUAAAAAUGAAUGUACAUAUGAUGAUGUAGACAGUAUGAAGGUACAUGAUGAUAUUGACGACAUGAAGGUACAUUUAAGCUACAAUAAUGGUUCUUAUAAAUAUGAAAAUAUUAUUCCUUCUAUUAUUUACGCAUAUGGGAAACAAAAAACAUAUUUAAAAUAUAAUAUAAAUAUAGAUAAAAAUUUAUACAAUUAUAUUAUAAACAGCUACAAUAAUGUACCCAAUUGUAUUCAUACAAAUCCAACCGAAGUAGUAUAUAUAUAUGAUAUUUCUAAAAAGGCUUUAAAAAAUAGUCAUCUGUCCAACAAAGUGAACAACAACAACAACAACAACAACAACAACAGAGCCAUUACAGAGUAUACGAACAGAGUAAAAAAUUUAAAAAAUAAAAAAUAUUACAAAGAUAUAAUAUAUAUUAUUAACAACUAUUGUAUUUAUUUUAUAAAAAAAGUACACUAUAAUGAUAUAAAAAAUGUUUUAUAUGGUAUUACAAAAAUAGAAAUGCCUGUUAAUAAACAAUUAUACGACACUAUAUUUGAAUUAAUAACAACUUAUGUAAAUAAAAACUUAUACAAAAAUUAUGAAAUUAUAAAUUUGACUAGGUCUUUAUCAUUAUUACCAAAUGUUAAAAAUGAUAUAUGGUUAAAUAUAAUAAAUUGUUAUAAAGAUAAUUUUAUAACAAUGGCUAGUGUUAAAAAUAACAGUUAUUUAUUUUAUAUUUUUUCAUUUGUCAAAAACACAUUAAAAAUAAAUACUGAUUUCGAUUUAUUAUUAAUUCAACAUAUAAAUAAAAAAGUUUCUCACAUUGUUAAAGAUGAUAUAAUUUAUUUAAUAAAAGGGUUAACAAAUUUAAAUUUAUAUAACAACGAAUUAGUUAUAAAUAUUACUAAUUAUAUACAAAAAAAUAAUACACUUUUUAAUCUAAUCGAUGUUGCAUAUAUAUUAAAGUAUUAUACAAUAAUGGAUUUAAGAAACGUCAACAUAUUUUCAUCUCUAGCUUUAACGAUAAAAAAAAAUAACACAAAAAAUAACUAUACAACGGUUUCUGCUAUAGCAAAAUUAUAUUUGC